AUGAACGCUGGCGGCGUGCCUAAUACAUGCAAGUCGAGCGAACGGACGAGAAGCUUGCUUCUCUGAUGUUAGCGGCGGACGGGUGAGUAACACGUGGAUAACCUACCUAUAAGACUGGGAUAACUUCGGGAAACCGGAGCUAAUACCGGAUAAUAUUUCGAACCGCAUGGUUCAAAAGUGAAAGACGGUCUUGCUGUCACUUAUAGAUGGAUCCGCGCUGCAUUAGCUAGUUGGUAAGGUAACGGCUUACCAAGGCAACGAUGCAUAGCCGACCUGAGAGGGUGAUCGGCCACACUGGAACUGAGACACGGUCCAGACUCCUACGGGAGGCAGCAGUAGGGAAUCUUCCGCAAUGGGCGAAAGCCUGACGGAGCAACGCCGCGUGAGUGAUGAAGGUCUUCGGAUCGUAAAACUCUGUUAUUAGGGAAGAACAUAUGUGUAAGUAACUGUGCACAUCUUGACGGUACCUAAUCAGAAAGCCACGGCUAACUACGUG
rnacentral:rRNA from 1 species